UACGGGGGGGGCAGGCGUUGUUCGGAAUUACUGGGCGUAAAGGGUGCGUAGGCGGCUUUCUAAGCUGGAUGUGAAAACUAUGGGCUCAACCCAUAGCCUGCAUCCAAAACUGGAGAGCUUGGGUUCUGGAGGGGAAAGCGGAAUUCCUGGUGUAGCGGUGAAAUGCGUAGAUAUCAGGAGGAACACCGGUGGCGAAGGCGGCUUUCUGGACAGACACCGACGCUGAGGCACGAAAGCUAGGGGAGCGAACAGG
rnacentral:rRNA from 1 species